AUGAACGCUGGCGGCGUGCUUAACACAUGCAAGUCGAACGGAAAGGCCCAAGCUUGCUUGGGUACUCGAGUGGCGAACGGGUGAGUAACACGUGGGUGAUCUGCCCUGCACUUCGGGAUAAGCCUGGGAAACUGGGUCUAAUACCGGAUAGGACCACAUUUUGGAUGGUGUGGUGGAAAGUUUUUCGGUGUGGGAUGAGCUCGCGGCCUAUCAGCUUGUUGGUGGGGUAAUGGCCUACCAAGGCGUCGACGGGUAGCCGGCCUGAGAGGGUGUACGGCCACAUUGGGACUGAGAUACGGCCCAGACUCCUACGGGAGGCAGCAGUGGGGAAUAUUGCACAAUGGGCGCAAGCCUGAUGCAGCGACGCCGCGUGGGGGAUGACGGCCUUCGGGUUGUAAACUCCUUUCGCUAGGGACGAAGCGCAAGUGACGGUACCUGGAGAAGAAGCACCGGCUAACUACGU
rnacentral:rRNA from 1 species